rnacentral:rRNA from 1 species
GGAGUUAGCCGGUGCUUCUUCUGUGAGUGAUGUCCUUCCUGCCGGUUAUUGACCCGCAGGCCUUCUUCCUCACUGAAAGUGCUUUACAACCCGAAGGCCUUCUUCACACACGCGGCAUGGCUGGAUCAGGGUUGCCCCCAUUGUCCAAUAUUCCCCACUGCUGCCUCCCGUAGGAGUCUGGGCCGUGUCUCAGUCCCAGUGUGGCUGAUCAUCCUCUCAGACCAGCUACGGAUCGUCGCCUUGGUGAGCCGUUACCUCACCAACCAGCUAAUCCGACAUAGGCUCAUCCGAUAGCGCGAGGCCCGAAGGUCCCCCGCUUUCCCCCGUAGGGCGUAUGCGGUAUUAGCCUGGGUUUCCCCAGGUUAUCCCCCACUACCGGGCAGAUUCCUAUGCAUUACUCACCCGUCCGCCGCUCGCCACCAGGGAGCAAGCUCCCCGUGCUGCCGCUCGACUUGCAUGUGUUAGGCCUGCCGCCAGCGUUCAUCUGAGCCAUGAUCAAACUCUGA